rnacentral:rRNA from 1 species
AUGAUUGCUCUUAUCGGUAUGGCUCCUACCGAGGAGGAGGGAGAAGAGAAGAAGAAGAGGGAAAGCAAAGUAGCCGGAGCUGCUUUCACGUGGAUUCAAAAUAACUUUGCGACGUGCCCUUCGGAUGCCACUAAUGAUGUGAUCCAGACACAUGCUCGUGUGUAUUGGUACAUUGUGUCGAGGACUUUGUUUCCUGACUCCACUGGCAAGAACGCUCCAUGGAUGUGGUUGAAGGCGUUGACCGUCUUUGAUAGCAAAUGGAGCUAG